AUCUUUUCUGAUGAGAAGCUUAUUGGAGACCUGUACUGAGAUUUAUGAGAAUAAGAGACUCUGAGGAGAC
rnacentral:snoRNA from 1 species